AUUCCAGCUCCAAUAGCGUAUAUUAAAGUUGUUGCAGUUAAAACGCUCGUAGUCGGAUUUCGGGGCGGGCCGACCGGUCUGCCGAUGGGUAUGCACUGGCCGGCGCGUCCUUCCACCCGGAGACCGCGCCUACUCUUAACUGAGCGGGCGCGGGAGACGGGUCUUUUACUUUGAAAAAAUCAGAGUGUUUCAAGCAGGCAGUCGCUCUUGCAUGGAUUAGCAUGGGAUAAUGAAAUAGGACUCUGGUGCUAUUUUGUUGGUUCCGAACACCGGAGUAAUGAUUAAUAGGGACAGUUGGGGACAUUUAUAUUCCAUGGCUAGAGGUGAAAUUCUUGGAUUCAUGGAAGAUAAACUACUGCGAAAGCAUUUGUCAAAGAUGUUUUCAUUA
rnacentral:rRNA from 1 species